CUUAAACUCAGGGGCUGGAAGGCAGUGUCAAGUGAGAGGCCAGUGUUUUACAAAGAUUAUGAGACCAAGCCAAAAGUAACUAGGAUGAAGACUGAAUUCACUGACACUGCAAGAAACAUUCUCUCCAAUUCCAUGCCCAGUUUCACAGAAAAGAAGAAGGAACACGGGGCGUGUUGUGACAUGGUACUGGUCUGUACACCUACAGCGACCUAUCCAUCUCAGGCCAAGUAGAGAGUUUCAGGACAAUAAAGAAGUGAAAUGAUUUAUGGGCCCAUGAUCCUAGAGAUUUCUCUGGAUAGAAGAUGGAGAUUAAUGGCUUCAUGAGAUUAAGUAUGUUUUUAGUAAUCAGUGAC